rnacentral:rRNA from 1 species
UACGUAGGAGGCGAGCGUUGUCCGGAAUUACUGGGCGUAAAGAGCGCGUAGGUGGCGCGAUACGACCGGUGUGAAAUCCUCCGGCUCAACUGGAGGGGGUCACUGGUAACGGUCGUGCUUAUGAGUGCAGGAGAGGGACGUGGAACUCCGGGAGUAGCGGUGAAAUGCGUAGAGAUGUGGAGGAACACCAGUGGCGAAGGCGGCUUUCUGGUCUGUAACUGACGCUGAGGCGCGAAAGCGUGGGGAGCAAACAGG